rnacentral:rRNA from 1 species
GACGAACGCUGGCGGCGUGCUUAACACAUGCAAGUCGAACGGUAAGGCCCCUUCGGGGGUACACGAGUGGCGAACGGGUGAGUAACACGUGAGCAACCUGCCCUUGACUCUGGAAUAACAGUUGGAAACAGCUGCUAAUACUGGAUAUUCAUCGUCUCCUUCCUGGGGGGUGGUGGAAAGCUCCGGCGGUCAGGGAUGGGCUCGCGGCCUAUCAGCUUGUUGGUGAGGUAAUGGCUCACCAAGGCUUCGACGGGCAGCCGGCCUGAGAGGGCGACCGGCCACACUGGGACUGAGAUACGGCCCAGACUCCUACGGGAGGCAGCAGUGGGGAAUAUUGCACAAUGGGCGCAAGCCUGAUGCAGCAACGCCGCGUGCGGGAUGACGGCCUUCGGGUUGUAAACCGCUUUCAGUAGGGACGAAGGGUGACUGACGGUACCUACAGAAGAAGGACCGGCUAACUACGUG